GGAGGGCACUCCUUGGUAAACUGGAAGACGGUGUGCAGGCCAAAGGCCCUAGGUGGGCUGGGAAUCACAUACCUAGGGAGAUUUGGUCGGGCUCUCCGCUUACGCUGGCCAUGGCUAAUGUGGACCGACCCUGACCGUCAGUGGGUGGGCUCUGCCCUACCCUGCGACGACUCGGAUAUGGCGCUAUUCAGAGCUUCGACCUCCAUCGUGCUGGGUAACAGCCACAAAGCUCUGUUCUGGCAUGAUGACUGGACGGGAAGGGUCCCCUUAGGAUGCUGGCUCCCGGAUUAUACAAAAUCGCCACAAGAAAGCAAAGAACAGUGUCCAAGGAGCUGUACGAGGAUAACUGGAUCAGAUCAGUCGCCCGCCUUCAGUCUCCCAUACACCUGUAGGAAUUCAUCUCGAUAG
rnacentral:rRNA from 1 species